rnacentral:sRNA from 1 species
UGUGAAAAAACAUGUUGGAUUUGUGGAAUCGCUAAUGACCACGGCUGAAUGGCGGGAUCCAAAAUCCGAUUAGAUUUCACAACGUCAUAUUAAUUUAAUAUUUA